rnacentral:rRNA from 1 species
GACAGAGGUGCCAAGCGUUAGGCGGAAUCACUGGGCUUAAAGCGUGUGUAGGCGGAAUGGUAAGUACCUUGUGAAAUCCCACGGCUCAACCGUGGAACUGCUGGGUAUACUGCUUUUCUUGAGCCACUUAGGGGCUGUCGGAACAAACGGUGGAGCGGUGAAAUGCGUAGAUAUCGUCUGGAACGCCAAAGGUGAAAACAGCUCGCUGGGGUUGUGCUGACGCUGAGACACGAAAGCCAGGGGAGCGAACGGG